GAUGAACGCUGGCGGCGUGCCUAAUACAUGCAAGUCGAACGAGAGCGACCGGUUCUUGCACUGGUCAAUCUAGUGGCGAACGGGUGAGUAACACGUGGGUAACCUGCCCAUCAGAGGGGGAUAACAUCCGGAAACGGAUGCUAAAACCGCAUAGGUCUUCGAACCGCAUGGUUUGAAGAGGAUAAGAGGCGCAAGCUUCUGCUGAUGGAUGGACCCGCGGUGCAUUAGCUAGUUGGUGAGGUAACGGCUCACCAAGGCCGUGAUGCAUAGCCGACCUGAGAGGGUGAUCGGCGACAUUGGGACUGAGACACGGCCCAAACUCCUACGGGAGGCAGCAGUAGGGAAUCUUCCGCAAUGGACGCAAGUCUGACGGAGCAACGCCGCGUGAGUGAAGAAGGUUUUCGGAUCGUAAAACUCUGUUGUUAGAGAAGAACAAGUGCUAGAGUAACUGUUAGCGCCUUGACGGUAUCUAACCAGAAAGCCACGGCUAACUACGUG
rnacentral:rRNA from 1 species